UGGGGAAUCUUGCGCAAUGGGCGAAAGCCUGACGCAGCGACGCCGCGUGAGUGAAGAAGGCCUUCGGGUUGUAAAGCUCUUUUAUCAGGGACGAUAAUGACGGUACCUGAGGAAUAAGCUCCGGCUAACUUCGUGCCAGCAGCCGCGGUAAUACAGAGGGUGCAAACGUUGUUCGGAAUUACUGGGCGUAAAGCGCGUGUAGGCGGCUCUGAUAAGUGAGGUGUGAAAGCCCUGGGCUCAACCCAGGAAGUGCACUUCAAACUAUCGAGCUUGAAUGCUGGAGAGGAAAGCGGAAUUCUCGGUGUAGAGGUGAAAUUCGUAGAUAUCGAGAGGAACACCCGUGGCGAAGGCGGCUUUCUGGACAGCGAUUGACGCUGAGACGCGAAAGCGUGGGGAGCAAACA
rnacentral:rRNA from 1 species